GACGAACGCUGGCGGCAUGCCUAACACAUGCAAGUCGAACGGAGAUUAUUUCGGUAAUCUUUGUGGCGAACGGGUGAGUAACGCGUGGGCAACCUGCCCUCUAGAUGGGGACAACAUCCCGAAAGGGGUGCUAAUACCGAAUGUGACAGCAAUCUCGCAUGAGGAUGCUGUGAAAGAUGGCCUCUAUUUAUAAGCUAUCGCUAGAGGAUGGGCCUGCGUCUGAUUAGCGAGUUGGUGGGGUAACGGCCUACCAAGGCGAUGAUCAGUAGCCGGUCUGAGAGGAUGAACGGCCACAUUGGGACUGAGACACGGCCCAGACUCCUACGGGAGGCAGCAGUGGGGAAUCUUCCGCAAUGGGCGAAAGCCUGACGGAGCAAUGCCGCGUGAGUGAUGAAGGAAUUCGUUCCGUAAAGCUCUUUUGUUUAUGACGAAUGUGCAGGUUGUGAAUAAUGACUUGUAAUGACGGUAGUAAACGAAUAAGCCACGGCUAACUACGUGCCAGCAGCCGCGGUAA
rnacentral:rRNA from 1 species